CAGACUUUUCGUUUUGCAUUUAUCUUUUCAAUGUAUAUGAUACAUAGUUUUUUGAAUGGAUUUAAAAUAAUUUAUAAGGUACUUCAGAAUCUGCUUUUAAAAACUCAGUUCUAAAAACGAACCUUAAUCUUAAAACAUAAUAGCUAAAGCCAAGGUAUGUGCUAUCGCAAAGUGCUCUUAUCUGUGCUAACUGGAUAAAUUCCUCUGCAGGGAGUCAAUUUGACACAGAACGGCGCUAGUCCUGGGCAGUGGUAUCUACUGGUGUCCUCUUGUUCCAGUAGUGUAGUUGGUAUUGAAACUAACACGCACACGGGGAAGAGCAGUAUAAAUAAUGACACAAAAAAUCUCCUCUCCUGUAAAGGGUAAGGUUGGAAGGCCACAACCGAAACACUGCAAUACCCGACCAGUGGCUGAUACUUAAAACCAACUGUGGACCGCAAUAGCGCUCGUUUACUGGACUUGCAGCACUCCCGGCUAUCACAUAUAGAUUGAAAUGCUAAAUAAACAAUAUAAUAAUAUACUAACAUGACAUAAUAUUCAUAAUGAAAUACGAUACACAACACUUUUCAAAACUAUAUACAAAUAUAAAAUGCCUUUAAUGUUAACAUGCGUUUACUUUAUUUACGG